rnacentral:rRNA from 1 species
AUGGGUAGAUCUAACGUUAACCCCAUAUGGUCAAAGAUUUGGAAACUUCCGUGUCCAGCAAAGGUAAAGAUCUUUAUUUGGCGCACUUUGCAUGUAACUCUCCCGUGUUGGGUUACGCUUGCAAAUAGACACUUGAAAAUCUUGCCAGUCUGCCCAUCAUGUUCGAAGGGGGCAGAAGAUACAAAGCACGUCCUCUUUCUGUGUCAGAAAGCGAAGGAGGUGUGGGAGAGGCUGGGGAUGGCUGACAUGAUUAAUGAAGCUUGUGCUAUUGAUCGUGCGAGUGAGGCGGUACUUGAAUUCUUACUCCUUAGGCCAGAACAAGAUUUAUCUAUUAUGGGAGUUCGGAAUGUACAUGAGAUGAUUGCCAUAGCCGCAUGGUAUUUAUGGUGGGACAGACGUAUGCUGGUUCAUAAGGGAAAGUUUCAAGAUGCGUACCACACAUCCAUGGCGGUCCGUGCUAUCACGGCUAAUUUUGCUAAAGCUUACUCUCCUAAUGCGACUAGUAAACGAGGGGGAUGGAGUAAACCUCCUAUGGAUUUUGUCAAGCUCAAUGUUGAUGCAUCUUUCGAUCAUGACCAGCAUAGAGGUAUUGCGGGGGCUGUCCUUAGAGAUGAUAAAGGACAAUUCAUAGUCGGUGGAAACUGGAAGAUCGAUUGGUGUGCGGAUGUUCUGACGGCAGAAGCUAUGGCUCUAAGGUUUGGCUUAUAUCUGGCACAAAAGGCAGGAUGCAACCGUCUGAUAAUUAACUCUGAUAAUUUGAAAGUCAUUGACAUGGUGAAGAACGGAGGACAAUUUGCGGGAAUGGCGGCGGCAGUUUUCGAUGACUGCUAUUUUUUGGCUUGCAAUUUUCCCCUUACUAGUUUCGAGCACUGUAAUAGGGAAGCGAAUAGGGUUGCCCACGAAUUAGCUAGGUUAGCUAGAGUUUCCUUCACGAAUUAG